UACGAAGGUGGCUAGCGUUGCUCGGAAUCACUGGGCGUAAAGCGCACGUAGGCGGCUUCUUAAGUCGGUGGUGAAAUCCUGGAGCUCAACUCCAGAACUGCCUUCGAUACUGAGAGUCUUGAGUUCGGGAGAGGUGAGUGGAACUGCGAGUGUAGAGGUGAAAUUCGUAGAUAUUCGCAAGAACACCAGUGGCGAAGGCGGCUCACUGGCCCGAUACUGACGCUGAGGUGCGAAAGCGUGGGGAGCAAACAGG
rnacentral:rRNA from 1 species